rnacentral:tRNA from 1 species
AAUAUAGUGCCUGAUUAAAGGGUAGCUUUGAUAGAGCUAAUAAUGUAAUGCUUUACCUAUAUUA